rfam:Parasitella parasitica strain CBS 412.66 genome assembly, contig: contig_4710
GAGGCGAAUACUGAUUGGUCAGUGAGCGAGCUGUAAACUCGUGAGCCAUUGGCUCUAUGUAGGUUCGAAUCCUACUCUCCUCA